CAAGAUCAGGAGGCUGAAGUAAAGAAGGACAUGACAAGAUGAAGGCAGAAUCUUCCUGAGCCUGUUGGGGCGGGGGGGAGUGGAGGAGGCAGAGAAAAGCAAGGGAUAAGACAGAGCAUCUUUUGGUCCUCUCUUUACCUCUGUGAUGCUGGAGAAGACUCUUGAGAAUCCCUUGGACUGCAAGGAGAUCAAACCAAUCAAUCCUAAUGGAAAUCAACCCUGGAUAUUCAUUGGAAGGACUGAUGCUGAAGCUGAAACUCCAAUACUUUGGCCACUUGAUGCAAAGAACUGACUCAUUGGAAAAAGACAUUGAUGCUGGGAAAGAUUGAAGGCAGAGAAUAAGGGGCUACAGAGGAUGAGAUGGUUGGAUGGUACCACCUACUCGAUGGACAUGAGUUUGAGUAAGCUCUGGGAGUUGGUGAUGGACAGGGAAGCUUGGCGUGCUGCAGUCCAUGGGGUUGCAAAGAGUUGGACGUGACUGAGCGACUGAACUGAACUGAACUGAACUUACCUCUGUUCUCCACAAAAGCUGUGCCCACCCCCAGGUGUGGGUCUCAGUCGUUACCCUCUUUUCCAGAGUACCUUUCUCCUUGGGGAAGGUCACUCACUGAAAAAAUAGGUGCUUUCUGGGGUCAGAUUCUCAAGUGUCCUUGCACCCUGGGCUCUGCUCAAAGGGCCCCCUACUUCCUCACUGGUCCUCUGGUCUCCUCCCAUCCUGUCCCUGUGGUCCAGACCUGUGUGGUGGCCCGUGGUGAUGCCUGGUGGAGAAGGUGGGAGCAGGGCUACCCUGGAGGGCAGAGCACCAGCCCACCAAGUGGGGGUCACAUGCACGCGCUGGUGAGUCUGGCAGAAAUACGGCACAGAGCCCUCCACCUCCCUGUUGGACAAGACUCCAGGGGUGUCUGGUAACUGCAGGUGGGCUCCGGCUCAUCUGGUUAGGAUAGUGCUUUGCCUUUCUGUUUCCUGAGGGUGUGGUUUGUACCCCUGUUGCUCAUCACCCAGGAUAUGUUCCUCGACACUGGGCUGGCUGUUUAGGAAGAAGCGAACCAUUUGUUCCUGAAAAUCAUGGCUGCUGAAGGUUCCGCUUUAAAGUUCUUCUGUCAGGAUUUUGUACUUUUUCUACCUCAGGUGAUGUGCCUGAGGGUCUCUGCUGCUCACCUGAGUCACAUUUCCUCCUGGCCUGACCCAUGUUGGAGGCACAGAGACAUGAGAAAAAGCUGGCUAUUGACCAACAGGCUGGAUCAUGG
ensembl:lncRNA